rnacentral:rRNA from 1 species
GAUGAACGCUGGCGGCGUGCCUAAUACAUGCAAGUCGAGCGAACAGACGAGGAGCUUGCUCCUCUGACGUUAGCGGCGGACGGGUGAGUAACACGUGGAUAACCUACCUAUAAGACUGGGAUAACCUCGGGAAACCGGAGCUAAUACCGGAUAAUAUUUUGAACCGCAUGGUUCAAAAGUGAAAGACGGUCUUGCUGUCACUUAUAGAUGGAUCCGCGCUGCAUUAGCUAGUUGGUAAGGUAACGGCUUACCAAGGCAACGAUGCAUAGCCGACCUGAGAGGGUGAUCGGCCACACUGGAACUGAGACACGGUCCAGACUCCUACGGGAGGCAGCAGUAGGGAAUCUUCCGCAAUGGGCGAAAGCCUGACGGAGCAACGCCGCGUGAGUGAUGAAGGUCUUCGGAUCGUAAAACUCUGUUAUUAGGGAAGAACAUAUGUGUAAGUAACUGUGCACAUCUUGACGGUACCUAAUCAGAAAGCCACGGCUAACUACGUG